UAUGAUUGUUUUUAAUAAAUACAACACUGCAUAAUUGAAUUCGAAUAGUACUCGAUUUUAAAUUUGUCAGGAUUGUUUGCUAGGUUAACAAUGUAUGGAUUUUUUGAAUGUUCCAACUGUAAGUCCCGAUGGGAAAGUGCCAAGGUUUUUGAAAGACCUGGAUCAACAACGUACUGGGGGCAAGAGUGCAAGAAAUGUAAUAUCAUGUGUCAGCCAUAUAGAGUGGAGGAGACAAUGUGCUCUCGUUGUGGGGAAGUUGCUAAAACAUGCAAGUGUGACAAGACCCGUCAUACCGACCCAAAUAAACCACAUAUGUCGGCACUUUGUGAGAAAUGUCGCUCGGGCAAUCCAUGUCAAUAACUCUUUGAAUGUAACCAUGAAAUCACGUGAUAAGGGGCGGACAAAAAUAAUGAUUACCUCAGCCCCGCCCAUUUUCAAUUUACGCUAAAACUUUUUUAAAUAUAUUGAGACUGCUGAUUAAAAGUCUUGUUUUGUUUUGUUAUGAUGUAUGCACUGGGAUAUUUUAUAAAAUUCAAGCUGCUGUUUUGAUGUAUUGAGUGAUGAUUCAAAUAACAUCAACUGGGAGAGAAUGUGCUUGGUAUGGGUGCAUUGAGUGGAAGUUCAACGAAUUAUGAUAUUUUAAUUGGCAAAAUUUAUCUUAAUUAUGUAAAGAGUUUAUAUGAUGAAUAAAAAUUGUAUCAUAAUAAUUGUAAAACCAGUCAUAUUUUACAGUGUCAUGUAUGUUGACUUUUGAUAUUGUGUCUGAUUAUGUAAAUUGUCGGCUAUGAUCUAGUGUCAUUUUUUUGAAACACAUAUCAAACUCGUUUUAUAGCUUAUUGAUAACUUCACUAAUAAUAAACAAUAUUUGACAAUUUUAUCAGUUCGAAUAUUUUAUCUACUUACCUUUUGUACUGUAUUUUUACAUGUAAAACGAACGCAUACAUUGUAAAAAGAAGUACAAUGUAUUUGAUAUUUAUAUAAACAUCAUAACUAUAUCGCGUAUCAGUUAGGUUUCUAAAAACAUAUAGGAUAAAAUGUUAAAUGACGGUGUAGAAAAUUGAUGUACUAUUAUACUUAAUUUUAAUUAUAUAAUUUCAAUGGCGAGCCAAUCUUGCUAUAAAAAUGAGAUGAACCGAUUUAUUGUUAGUCUUGAAAAGUAAUUAAAUGAUUAUGAAAGUGAAAUGGUUUAUCUAAUAAGAAAUGGGCAUUGUAAGAUCAGAAUAAAAUAGUAUUAAAAAG